UACGUAGGGGGCAAGCGUUGUCCGGAUUUAUUGGGCGUAAAGGGCGCGCAGGCGGCUACGCACGUCCGUUGUGAAAUCGCUCGGCUCAACUGGGCGGGGUCAGCGGAUACGGCGUAGCUGGAGCAAGCUAGGGGGCAAUGGAAUUCCUGGUGUAGCGGUGAAAUGCGCAGAUAUCAGGAGGAACACCGGUGGCGAAGGCGGGACUCUGGGCCGAUACUGACGCUGAGGAGCGAAAGCGUGGGGAGCAAACAGG
rnacentral:rRNA from 1 species